rnacentral:rRNA from 1 species
UACGUAGGGUGCAAGCGUUAAUCGGAAUUACUGGGCGUAAAGCGUGCGCAGGCGGUUUUGUAAGUCUGUCGUGAAAUCCCCGGGCUUAACCUGGGAAUGGCGAUGGAGACUGCAAGGCUAGAGUUUGGCAGAGGGGGGUAGAAUUCCACGUGUAGCAGUGAAAUGCGUAGAUAUCUGGAGGAAUACCGGUGGCGAAGGCGGCGUUCUGGACUGCAACUGACACUGAGUGAACGAAAGCCAGGGGAGCAAACGGG